rnacentral:tRNA from 1 species
CUGGUAUCUCGCAAUGAUAACGAUUGCCGGAUACGCUUGAGACGUAUCACUUAACAAUUACGUAUGAACGUUCAAAACGUUCAUGUCAGC